rnacentral:lncRNA from 1 species
CUGUGCUGAGGUACUUUCCCUGCAGCGAGGUCAAAGUCUGGUUUAACUGGCCCAGGAGUUAUGGAUGCCCUCCACCUUUUCCAAGGAAAACUGGAAUUACUUUCUCACCCCUUGCCUUUUCUCCGUGCUGCAUGGCAGGUCCAGAACGGGCUGGUGCUGUACGCAACRUGGACCAUCAUUGCCACUCUGCUGAAUUUAGCCGUUGUGUUGAUCUACAAGUGGAACGUGUCCAACGAGACAGCAACUACUGCCUCGCUGUGCAUCCUUGCUCUCGACCUAGUAAUAUGGUUUUAUGUAGAAAACUUGUUUCUUGACAAGUACGUCCGUUACAACCUCACAGUCUACCCAGUGGUCAUGCUAGCUCUGACUGGCAGCGCGUGCAAGAACUUCUCGCUUUCCUCCCCAACGACCAACGGCAUUUUUAUAGUUGUGCUACUGGCAGUGACUUGCGUUGUCUUUGCUGUUCGGCUGGGACUCGUCGUAUGGAGACACCGUAAGCAACGACUAGAACCACCAGAAACCCCAGAUCCAUCAGGCGUAGUGGCCUGAGACCUCCGGCGUGGUGACAUCGUGGCAGGUGUUUUGGGGAAAUCCGGGCAUCCUGCAUCCACCRGUCCUUUCUUCCAGUACUAGUUUCCUUAUAUUUUUUUUAACUAUUUCUUUUUUUGUAUGCCAAAGUAGGAUGGUUUGUCUGCAAAUCCAUUCUGAUCUCRUGUUCUGUCCUCCCCAAUCAGUCCCCGCUCUCAAUCUGCACCUUCCCCAGUUCGGUUUGACUGACUGCAGUAGUGGCAGGAAAGGUCCUUCAGGUGAACAGCCCCAYGCACUUUUUUGAUGACCCAACUGUGGCUUUCUGCUCUUUCCAGUGCUGUUAGCAGACACUGGACAGGUUUGCACACAGCUGUUCAUGUUCCCUCCUUGAGCCCGCAUUUCUUG